CCAACUGACAACCCGACCGUGUUGCCUCUCUCCUCCUUUCGUGUCGUCUCUCUCCUCUCCUCUCCUCUCGCGUCUGCAGCUUCCCUUGCCGGCUAGGGUUUGCAGAUGACGACGGUGGCACCCACAUUUUCGGCCCCUCCCAGAAGUACUCGUCCCGCGACCUCGCCGCGCAUACCUCGCUCAAGCCCAGAAAAGACGGUCAAUAGACCCAAGAGGAGUUACAGAAGAGGAAUCUCAGGGAGGAACUUGAGGAACGUGAGCGCAAGCACUACUCUUCCAAGGAUAAGUCCUAUGCUAAAGAAAGAGACCGGCGGAAAAGCUCAAGCCAGCUACUCCUAGAAGGUUCAAAGAGAGAGGCAGAGGAUAAGAUAGUUCCAUGAGAAAUUGAUGCAGAUGACUCCGAUGUGGAGCCUAAAAGUGAUGAUGACAGAGAAGACAACACAACAUCUUUCUUGACAUUGUUUAGGCAGAAGUGGAGCAACUGCGAGAAGAACUUAGGCGACAUCAGGAUUAAUUGAAGCAACAAGCUGCGCAACAUGAAUAUUAUGCUACACAGAUUCAACAACAGCAAACACUCAUAAAACAACUAGCAUAGGCCUAAGGGAUACAAGUCCCGGUGCCCCCACCACCACUACCUCCCGUUCAUUAUCCUUGGUCUUCACCUCCACCGACACCUACAUCACCAUCUACCGAACAUCAGACCCCUCCAGCUACCUUGUCGACGCAUGAACGAGAAGACGGGUUAGACUUUGUCGAAACCCUCUUUGCUAGUGGAGGUAUCGACCAUCAGUCGUCAUUGUAACCCGAUGGUGAUCGGUGACCGUGAGCUUCCAUGUUAUUGUGUUCUGAUACUUGAGACUUUUAUUAUGACUAUGUAUGAGAUAUUGUCUCUUAUUAGUACUGGAUGAUGAGAUGUGUCUUAUUAUGACUAUGGAUAUGACUUUUGUGAUGUAAUUGAUGAGACUAUAAAUUUAAAUAUUGUUA